GGGCGGGGAGCAGUAGCAGGAAGGGAGGAGGGGAGGGGGUGCUCGUUAAGGGUGGUGGGUAGGACUCGCGGCGGUCGGAGGGUGAGGGGCCGCUCGACGGGGUAGGGCUCGCGGCGGUCGGAAGGUGAGGGACCGCUCGACGGGGUAGGGAUCGCGGCGGUCGGAGGGGGUUGGAGGCCACGGAGGGCCUAGGCGGUGGAGGUGCGCCACCGUCGAGGAGGUGGUCUAGUGCGGUGCACAUCGGUAUGGGUGUCAGGGCGGCCGCGGUCGCCGGGUUGGGUCCACCGCGAAGCUGCCUGGAGGAGGGCCGCUCCGGGCUGCGGUUGUGGCCCCUAGAGGUCCUCGCCAGCAGGGGACGAUGCCUAGCGCGGCGGCGGCAGGGAUCGCGAAGAUAUGUUGGAAGCGGCUGGCGGCGGUGGUUAGAAGACUACGCGGCGGGGCCGUCUAGGCUGCGCAGAGGAACUGGAGGGUCCGCUGCGGUGGCCGUUUAGAUCCAACCCCGGUAGGUAGAGGAGAGCGGGGGGCCGUUCCGAGGGGGUAGUGGUGCGUCGGUUCGACGGCGUAGUUUGACCGGUAAGUUGUUGCGGCAGAACCCUGCAAGUUACUGCACCGGGGUACCGCAAACGACAGCGUCGCGGACCUAGUGUAACAGUGGUACGAAGUGCUCCGGCUCUAUAAAGGUAAGAAGUAAGUAGCUGUAGUCUAACUUGACUCUUCAGUCGCGUCUGCGUUAAACUCGAAGGGAGAGAGAGACUAUGCCCAAGCGUUCACAGUACAAGCCGACAAGCGGCGUCGUCGGGCCUCCACGAGGACGUCGGCUGGUUCUUGUCCCGACCCUGUUCCUAUAAAAACAAGAGUUUGUGCAGCGACGCAUACACACAUAUACUUGUAAAAUGAGGUACAACAAGAAAUGUAAAACAGUAGAGGAUAUCUCAAAUACUACGUAUUACUGAUAACCUACCUAAUAAACAAGUACACUUACUUACGUAAAACAGAGAGUUUGUUCUUAAUACACAACCAAAAGUCACGGUAUUGUUUGAAUAAGAAACCCCUAGAAACAUACAUUUCACAGAGUAAGUUCUUCCAUACACAACGUUUUUUUGUAAAGAGAACAAUAUGUAUUUGUACGUGAAACAUAUUAGACCAGGUGCUUUUAUUUAGUAACACUCUUUUCUUCACGUGGCUAACUCGGGGAAGGGUUGUCAGACAAUAAAAGAUGUAAGAACGAUGACUUUCAUCUCCUCUUACUGACGAGCCUAAAAGAGACUUGAAGGAACAAGAAGUGAUACCGCUAUGUACGAGUCGAGAGGGAGAGACUUGAGGACGUUUUGUUCAUACACACUCAAUCGAUCUUCUACUUAAGUCAGUUCUUUUUCUCACAACGUACAAGCGAUUGACAUCAACAAUAAACUUCGACGUGUAAAGAUCGCUUCGUACUAACACAAAUACAAGUCUACGAGGAACGGAAAUUAAAACUAGAAAUCAAAAGAUUUGACUUAACCUGACGAACACAGUAGAAGAAGGAUUAAAAGGGUACACUUUUAACAUACUUUUACUUCCUUACCAGACCCACCUGCUCGAUCGGGCUCCGCACCAGAACGAGCGGUCGCAACCCGCGUCAAGCCGAUCUUUCUUCUUCCUCGAGGUAGGUCGGAUACUUCAAGUUGGCCACUCGUACACGUCAGGCUGCCGCGCACACACGAACACAGGCCAAGUGCCCGCAUGGCACACACCACGAACGUACGUGUGCCUUGGGUGUACACCACACUCCUCUUCGGUUCGAUUUUUCUUCUUGUGUGAUGCGUUCUGUCCGUGUCUCUCCAAGUCCCGAAGUCCGUUACACUACCGCGUCGGCGACGUCAUAGUUGAUGUUGUCGAGCCGCGAGGACCACGAGGAGAGGGAAACGAUGAAACGUACGACACUACGGUGGCGGAGGAGUGACAUGCUUUUCCAAACUCACUCUUUUUUAACGUCGAGUACUUACUUGGACCUCUUCAAGAUUACGCUACCACGAUAAGAAACGUCAAUAAACAAAGAGCACUUACGUAAACCAACACCGACUACCUAGAGAUAGAAGUAUAUAAUAAACGAAAUAAAACCAGACUGAACGUGGGUUGAGAGAGAAGAAAAAAAUUAGCUG
rnacentral:rRNA from 1 species